GGUUAAGCGACUAAGCGUACACGGUGGAUGCCCUGGCAGUCAGAGGCGAUGAAGGACGUGCUAAUCUGCGAUAAGCGUCGGUAAGGUGAUAUGAACCGUUAUAACCGGCGAUUUCCGAAUGGGGAAACCCAGUGUGUUUCGACACACUAUCAUUAACUGAAUCCAUAGGUUAAUGAGGCGAACCGGGGGAACUGAAACAUCUAAGUACCCCGAGGAAAAGAAAUCAACCGAGAUUCCCCCAGUAGCGGCGAGCGAACGGGGAGCAGCCCAGAGCCUGAAUCAGUGUGUGUGUUAGUGGAAGCGUCUGGAAAGGCGCGCGAUACAGGGUGACAGCCCCGUACACAAAAAUGCACAUGCUGUGAGCUCGAUGAGUAGGGCGGGACACGUGGUAUCCUGUCUGAAUAUGGGGGGACCAUCCUCCAAGGCUAAAUACUCCUGACUGACCGAUAGUGAACCAGUACCGUGAGGGAAAGGCGAAAAGAACCCCGGCGAGGGGAGUGAAAAAGAACCUGAAACCGUGUACGUACAAGCAGUGGGAGCACGCUUAGGCGUGUGACUGCGUACCUUUUGUAUAAUGGGUCAGCGACUUAUAUUCUGUAGCAAGGUUAACCGAAUAGGGGAGCCGAAGGGAAACCGAGUCUUAACUGGGCGUUAAGUUGCAGGGUAUAGACCCGAAACCCGGUGAUCUAGCCAUGGGCAGGUUGAAGGUUGGGUAACACUAACUGGAGGACCGAACCGACUAAUGUCGAAAAAUUAGCGGAUGACUUGUGGCUGGGGGUGAAAGGCCAAUCAAACCGGGAGAUAGCUGGUUCUCCCCGAAAGCUAUUUAGGUAGCGCCUCGUGAAUUCAUCUCCGGGGGUAGAGCACUGUUUCGGCAAGGGGGUCAUCCCGACUUACCAACCCGAUGCAAACUGCGAAUACCGGAGAAUGUUAUCACGGGAGACACACGGCGGGUGCUAACGUCCGUCGUGAAGAGGGAAACAACCCAGACCGCCAGCUAAGGUCCCAAAGUCAUGGUUAAGUGGGCUGCUCCCCAUGCGAGAGUAGGGAACUGCCAGGCAUUCGGUGCCUGGCGGCCGUAGCGCGGUGGUCCCACCUGACCCCAUGCCGAACUCAGAAGUGAAACGCCGUAGCGCCGAUGGUAGUGUGGGGUAAAACGAUGUGGGAAGGCCCAGACAGCCAGGAUGUUGGCUUAGAAGCAGCCAUCAUUUAAAGAAAGCGUAAUAGCUCACUGGUCGAGUCGGCCUGCGCGGAAGAUGUAACGGGGCUAAACCAUGCACCGAAGCUGCGGCAGCGACGCUUAUGCGUUGUUGGGUAGGGGAGCGUUCUGUAAGCCUGCGAAGGUGUGCUGUGAGGCAUGCUGGAGGUAUCAGAAGUGCGAAUGCUGACAUAAGUAACGAUAAAGCGGGUGAAAAGCCCGCUCGCCGGAAGACCAAGGGUUCCUGUCCAACGUUAAUCGGGGCAGGGUGAGUCGACCCCUAAGGCGAGGCCGAAAGGCGUAGUCGAUGGGAAACAGGUUAAUAUUCCUGUACUUGGUGUUACUGCGAAGGGGGGACGGAGAAGGCUAUGUUGGCCGGGCGACGGUUGUCCCGGUUUAAGCGUGUAGGCUGGUUUUCCAGGCAAAUCCGGAAAAUCAAGGCUGAGGCGUGAUGACGAGGCACUACGGUGCUGAAGCAACAAAUGCCCUGCUUCCAGGAAAAGCCUCUAAGCAUCAGGUAACAUCAAAUCGUACCCCAAACCGACACAGGUGGUCAGGUAGAGAAUACCAAGGCGCUUGAGAGAACUCGGGUGAAGGAACUAGGCAAAAUGGUGCCGUAACUUCGGGAGAAGGCACGCUGAUAUGUAGGUGAGGUCCCUCGCGGAUGGAGCUGAAAUCAGUCGAAGAUACCAGCUGGCUGCAACUGUUUAUUAAAAACACAGCACUGUGCAAACACGAAAGUGGACGUAUACGGUGUGACGCCUGCCCGGUGCCGGAAGGUUAAUUGAUGGGGUUAGCGCAAGCGAAGCUCUUGAUCGAAGCCCCGGUAAACGGCGGCCGUAACUAUAACGGUCCUAAGGUAGCGAAAUUCCUUGUCGGGUAAGUUCCGACCUGCACGAAUGGCGUAAUGAUGGCCAGGCUGUCUCCACCCGAGACUCAGUGAAAUUGAACUCGCUGUGAAGAUGCAGUGUACCCGCGGCAAGACGGAAAGACCCCGUGAACCUUUACUAUAGCUUGACACUGAACAUUGAGCCUUGAUGUGUAGGAUAGGUGGGAGGCUUUGAAGUGUGGACGCCAGUCUGCAUGGAGCCGACCUUGAAAUACCACCCUUUAAUGUUUGAUGUUCUAACGUUGACCCGUAAUCCGGGUUGCGGACAGUGUCUGGUGGGUAGUUUGACUGGGGCGGUCUCCUCCUAAAGAGUAACGGAGGAGCACGAAGGUUGGCUAAUCCUGGUCGGACAUCAGGAGGUUAGUGCAAUGGCAUAAGCCAGCUUGACUGCGAGCGUGACGGCGCGAGCAGGUGCGAAAGCAGGUCAUAGUGAUCCGGUGGUUCUGAAUGGAAGGGCCAUCGCUCAACGGAUAAAAGGUACUCCGGGGAUAACAGGCUGAUACCGCCCAAGAGUUCAUAUCGACGGCGGUGUUUGGCACCUCGAUGUCGGCUCAUCACAUCCUGGGGCUGAAGUAGGUCCCAAGGGUAUGGCUGUUCGCCAUUUAAAGUGGUACGCGAGCUGGGUUUAGAACGUCGUGAGACAGUUCGGUCCCUAUCUGCCGUGGGCGCUGGAGAACUGAGGGGGGCUGCUCCUAGUACGAGAGGACCGGAGUGGACGCAUCACUGGUGUUCGGGUUGUCAUGCCAAUGGCACUGCCCGGUAGCUAAAUGCGGAAGAGAUAAGUGCUGAAAGCAUCUAAGCACGAAACUUGCCCCGAGAUGAGUUCUCCCUGACCCUUUAAGGGUCCUGAAGGAACGUUGAAGACGACGACGUUGAUAGGCCGGGUGUGUAAGCGCAGCGAUGCGUUGAGCUAACCGGUACUAAUGAACCGUGAGGCUUAACCU
rnacentral:rRNA from 1 species